ACGUUUCGCGCCAAUUUCGGUUGGCCGGCCACAGUCCACCGCGCGGAGGUUCUCAGCUUCCCCAGGAGCAAGACCUCUGAGCCCGCCAAGCGCUGCCGCACGGCCCUCGGCAGCGAUGGCACUGAAGGACUACGCGCUAGAGAAGGAAAAGGUUAAGAAGUUCUUACAAGAGUUCUACCAGGAUGAUGAACUUGGGAAGAAGCAGUUCAAGUAUGGGAACCAGUUGGUUCGGCUGGCCCAUCGGGAACAGGUGGCUCUGUAUGUGGACCUGGACGACGUAGCCGAGGAUGACCCCGAGUUGGUGGACUCAAUUUGUGAGAAUGCCAGGCGCUACGCGAAGCUCUUUGCUGAUGCCGUACAAGAGCUGCUGCCUCAGUACAAGGAGAGGGAAGUGAGUGGUUAGAGAACAAUGGCAAACAAAGGGCGAGGCGUUUAAGCUUCUGUAGAGAGGCUGCUCAGAUACUGAUGUUUUCUGAGCAGGCAGAAAGGAGGGGCACUUCUGCCUGGUGUUCUCUGUGCUCUCCUUUCCCCAUCCUGUUGCUCAUUUUUUUUUUUUUUUUUUUUUUUUUUUUUUUUUUUUGUUCUUCUCCUUUAGGUGGUAAAUAAAGAUGUCCUGGACGUUUACAUUGAGCAUCGGCUAAUGAUGGAGCAGCGGAGUCGGGACCCUGGGAUGGUCCGAAGCCCCCAGAACCAGUACCCUGCUGAACUCAUGCGCAGAUUGUGAGUGGUCUCUGUCGGGAAAGAUGUAGGGAUUGGUUCUCCAGGAUCUUGUUUGUGACUGUUUUCUCCCCUUAGUGAGCUGUAUUUUCAAGGCCCUAGCAGCAACAAGCCUCGUGUGAUCCGGGAAGUGCGGGCUGACUCUGUGGGGAAGUUGGUAACUGUGCGUGGAAUCGUCACUCGUGUCUCUGAAGUCAAACCCAAGAUGGUGGUGGCCACUUACACUUGUGACCAGUGUGGGGCAGAGACCUACCAGCCGAUCCAGUCUCCCACUUUCAUGCCUCUGAUCAUGUGCCCAAGCCAGGAGUGCCAAACCAACCGCUCAGGAGGGCGGCUGUAUCUGCAGACACGGGGCUCCAGAUUCAUCAAAUUCCAGGAGAUGAAGAUUCAAGAACAUAGUGAUCAGGUGCCUGUGGGAAAUAUCCCUCGUAGUAUCACAGUGCUGGUAGAAGGAGAGAACACAAGGAUUGCCCAGCCUGGAGACCACGUCAGCGUCACUGGUAUCUUCUUGCCAAUCCUGCGCACUGGGUUCCGACAGGUGGUACAGGUAAGGAAGAGUUUGACAUGAGGAAUGGAUCAUCCCCUUUUCCCUCACCUACUCAUUCUACCCACACAGAGAAAAGAGCAGC
rnacentral:sRNA from 1 species